GACUUGCUCUCAUGAGUUACGGCGGACGGGUGAGUACACGUGGGUACCUGCCCAUAAGACUGGGAUAACUCCGGGAAACCGGGGCUAAUACCGGAUAACAUUUUGAACUGCAUGGUUCGAAAUUGAAAGGCGGCUUCGGCUGUCACUUAUGGAUGGACCCGCGUCGCAUUAGCUAGUUGGUGAGGUAACGGCUCACCAAGGCAACGAUGCGUAGCCGACCUGAGAGGGUGAUCGGCCACACUGGGACUGAGACACGGCCCAGACUCCUACGGGAGGCAGCAGUAGGGAAUCUUCCGCAAUGGACGAAAGUCUGACGGAGCAACGCCGCGUGAGUGAUGAAGGCUUUCGGGUCGUAAAACUCUGUUGUUAGGGAAGAACAAGUGCUAGUUGAAUAAGCUGGCACCUUGACGGUACCUAACCAGAAAGCCACGGCUAACUACGUGCCAGCAGCCGCGGUAAUACGUAGGUGGCAGCGUUAUCCGAUUUU
rnacentral:rRNA from 1 species